AUGGAUGCACAGCAGGACAGACCCAAGUCCCAAGACUGCCUGGGCCUACUGGCCCCCCUAGCAUCUGCUGCAGAGGUCUCCUCUACAGCUCCCGUGUCUGGGAAGAAGCACAGACCACCAGGACCCCUGUUCUCCUCCUCAGAUCCCCUUCCUGCCACCUCUUCCCACUCCGGGGACUCAGCCCAGGACACCUCGCUGAUUCCUGCCCCCUUCACACCUGCAAGCAGGGAUGCCGGCAUCAGAAGAAUGUUUCGUGUUCGAAAUUGUUUGAGGGGUUUGGGUUUAUUUUUGUUGGUUUUUUCUUUUUUUUUUUUUGCUUACGUGGGCAUCCUUCAGCUUUUAAUAAUCUGAAAAAUUCUAUUUACCCAUUGUCAAUGUGUAUAAAUUAAUCUCAGUCAAUUUUAUACAAUAAAAGGUGAACUUUUAUCCAUCAAACAAUAAUUUAACAAAAAAUGUACCGGAAGAAGAAUGUUCAUUACAAAUAUAGGAAACAUAAAUAUUACCAAAUAUUGGCAAGCACUAAAAUGUUCAGAAAUAUAAGUCUAUUACAGUUAUAGCUCUCUCAAGCAAAAAAACAGCAGAGAAAAACUUAGUUUUCCUGAGGGGCUAUUUAUUUACUUAGGGAUUUGUUAAAAGGUCAAAUGGGGUCACACAGAAUACUAAGAAGAGCUGUUCACCCAGGCCUCACUAAGAACUCUUCUUCAUGCAGUAGCUAUAUAGUAAUAUGACAACUGCUCCUACGACCCACAGAGGAACUACAGCAACUACUCUUUAGCAUCUGUUGCUCCCAACUCUGCUUUGCAAUUAUAUGACUCAAGCAUUCUGGCUCCGUUAACUAUUACUGCUGUUACUCCCAAGUAAAUUCCCUCUAAAAAAUAAAAAUUUUUAAAGCUGUAAUUUAAGCUCUCUGCUGCCUCAUGACUUCAAUUCCAUCAGAGUUACGCAUUGUUUCCUCUGUACAUCUUUGCUCUGCUUCCAUUGCUAAUUCCCUAGUAAAGUGUUGUAUAUUCAAAGUUCCAAAGAAACAGAAUAUCCAAGACAUCACCAAUCAUCCAAAACACAGUGUAGGAGGCCACAGUUAAGAGAAGCAAGACCAUUAGCUCUUUUUAUAGGCUCGAGAACAACAGGAUGCUUUGGUCCUGUAUCAGCAGGAUGCUUUUUGGGUAGAUCCUACUGCCACCCUACUAUCGGGUAGAUCCUACUGUCACCCUAGCUAUGGGCACAUGUCAGAGUCCCAUGUAAUAAAGGAGACAAAAGGAAACCACCACGAGUAUAAACUAAGAAAAGUACUCCAAGGUUUCUAAGAAUGGAGCUGUAUAACUCACUUUGCCCCGUUUGUUACUUCUCCACGGUACUUACCACCACCUAUUACAUACAUUUUGUUUAUAGUCAGUCUUCCCCCAUUAGAAUGAAAGUUCCGUGAGGAUAGGACUAUACAGUCAGCCCUCAGUAUCCAUGGGGGACUGGUUUCAGGAUCUCCUGAGGGUAACAAAGGAUACUCAAGUCCCUGAUAUAAAAUGACAUAGUAUUUGCACAUCACCUUUGCACAUCCUCCCAUAUACUUCAUAUCAACUCUAGAUCACUCAUAAUAUCCGAUGUAAAUGUCAUGCAAAUAGUUAUUGUACUAUAUUGUGUAAGGAAUAAGGACAAGAAAAAAGUCUGUACAUGUUCAGUACAGACGCAAUUUUUUUUUCCAAUAUUUCCAAUCCUUGGUUGCCUUAACGGAUGUAGAACCCAGGAAUAAGUUCUGGUGUCCUAUUGCAUAGUAGGAUGAGUAUAGUUAACAAUAACAUAUUAUAUAUUUGAAAAUAGCCAGAAGAGUAGAUUUUGAAUUUUCUCCCUACAGAAAAAUCAUUAUGCAAAUUACCCUGAUUUGAUCAUUACACAUUGAGUACAUGUAUUAAAACAUCACAUUCUACCCCAUAUAUAUGUACAGUUAUUAUGUGUCCAUAAAAAUUUAAUGUCAAUGUGUGAAAUAAAAUGAAAAAAUAAAAAUUUUUAAAGCUGUAAUUAUCUCCAUCUGGUAGGAAUAUAUACAAUCUGAAAUAAAAAAUAUAUUUGUAAUUGUUAGGACAAAAUAGAUUAUACAUUAAGUCUGCAAAUUAUAAAUUAUAAAAUUCUCACAGAACCUGAAAAAUUAUUGAUACUGUUAAAUAUUUAAAAAGCUGUCCUUGGAGAGAAAGAAACCUAUCAGAUUUACAUCAACAAGUGUAAUAUGUCAGCCUAUUACCAUCUGCUACAGACUGCAUGUUUGUGUUCCCUCAAAAUUCAUAUGAUAGGCCCGGCGCGGUGGCUCAUGCCUGUAAUCCCAGCACUUUGGGAGGCCGAGGCGGGUGGAUCAUGAGGUCAGGAGAUCGAGAUCAUCCUGGCUAACAUGGUAAAACCCCGUCUCUACUGAAAAUACAAAAAAUUAGCCGGGCGCAGUGGCGGGCGCCUUAGUCCCAGCUACUGAGGAGGCUGACGCAGG
rnacentral:lncRNA from 1 species